AGGCGGCUCCGGUCGCGGCCGCGGCGGGUGCCAUCGGUCUCCGGUCUGUCCGCGUCCGCGGCCGCCGAAGACAGAGCCAGGAUGUUCGGGAUGCUGAGCAGCAGCUUUGAGGACGACCCCUUCUUCUCUGAUUCUUUUAUGGCACACCGAGAAAGUAUGCGACAGAUAAUGAGAAGUUUUUCUGAGCCUUUUGGAAGAGACUUGCUCAGCAUCUCUGAUGGUAGAGGAAGAGCUCAUAAUCAUAUGGGACAUGAUGAUGGUGAAAAUUCCUUGACUGCAAUGAGUUCUCUUGCGCCUUUUGGCAGUUUUGGUGGUAUGCAUACAGAUGUCAGCCCUUUUCAGGGAAUGGACCGAAUGAUGUUAAAUAUGCAAAACAGUAUGCAAGAAUUACAAAGAAACUUUGGUCACCUUUCAGUGGAUCCAAAUGGACAUUCGUUUAGUUCUUCUUCAGUUAUGACUUAUUCCAAAGUAGGAGAUGAACCAGCAAAGGUUUUCCAGGCCUCAACUCAAACUCGUAGGGCUCCAGGAGGAAUAAAGGAAACUAGGAGAGCACUAAGAGAUUCUGACAGCGGACUAGAAAAAAUGGCUGUUGGUCAUCAUCUCCGUGACCGAGCUCAUGUCAUUAAAAAGUCAAAGAACAACAAGACUGGAGAUGAAGAGGUCAAUCAAGAGUUUAUCAAUAUGAAUGAAAGUGAUGCUCAUGCGUUUGAUGAUGAGUGGCAAAAUGAGAUUUUGAAGUACAAAACAGGGGGACAAUGGCGCAAUCUAGAAAACACUAGGAUGCGAAGUGUUGGUCAUGAGAAUUCAGGAUCCUGAGAGCUUAAAAGAAGGCUGUGGAGAGUGGAGGAUUGCUGCAAGGAAGGCUUCACAGAACCAGCGGUGGACAAGGAGAAAACUCAUCAAAGUCCAGCCGUUGAACGUGGAAGAAGAUCCAAUGCUUUUGUGGACAAACUUAACAUCAAAGGAUCACCUGUGAAAAUCAACAAAAAAUAAAUAGCCUUGCAUUUGAUUUGUUUAGUUUUGGUUGUUUUAACAGAGAAAGUAAUGGUGCUGGCUAAUACACAUAAGACCAAUCUCUUGUUCUUAAAUCAAUACUGUACUUAGCAACUUUCUUCUGAUAUCUGAAUGUUCUUGGAAGUGCUAGCUUGAUAUUGUCCCUACUUCAGGAAUAAAACUUUGAUUUUCAACAAUG